GACAGAGGGUGCAAACGUUGCUCGGAAUUACUGGGCGUAAAGCGCGUGUAGGCGGUCUCGCGAGUCGGGUGUGAAAGCCCGGGGCUCAACCCCGGACGUGCAUUCGAUACUACGAGGCUGGAGUACUGUAGAGGAUGGCGGAAUUCCCGGUGUAGAGGUGAAAUUCGCAGAUAUCAGGAAGAACACCCGUGGCGAAGGCGGCUCUCUGGAACGCAACUGACGCUGAGACGCGAAAGCGUGGGGAGCAAACAGG
rnacentral:rRNA from 1 species